CGCCCCGUCUCCACAGCAACACCUUAGUAGGAGCCCGGGGGCUUCGGCACCGUGGGAGGCGCACUCGGAUGACGUCACGCACCCGCGGCGCUUGCAUGACGUCAGCCCCGGCUCAGAAGUGGGCUCUGCCGACCAGCAGUGGUCUGGAACCGAACCCGCAGUAUCUCUGAGGUCUGCCUGUGCUCCCACCAUGGCCAGUUUCAAGCUACAGACAUGUCAUCACUGAACCUUCACAGCAUAUCAGCGGUGCUGAUUCUGCCCCAUCCGGGGAUGGGCACGCGACCCAGAGGGGCUGCAUCAGAGUUCUUAGGGCUAUCAGAGAAGACCAUGUCUUUCCCUUGGCACUGAUAAAGAGAUACAACCGGUUCCUGCUUCCACCUGUACUGUGAUGUCUAUCCACCCACCCGUUUACCACCUGGGACCUCUUGGAGAAGAAAAGGAUGAAGGAAGGACGGAAGGAAACAGCCCGCUUGGAAGCAGGAGAAGCAGAGCGGAAGUUGGGUGUUAUCUCCCCCGCAAGCCCUGGAAACCAACAGGGUUACCGCGAUCCUUCAUCCAGUGACAACAGCCUUAUAGAGCAGCAAUGCUGACAAAAGCAAAUGGGCAGCCCAGCAGAGCUUGGCCUGCUGUUCCUCUGAGAGCGAGUGGAAACAAACCCGAUGAGGAAGCUGAUGCUCGGAGAGGUUAAGUAACUUGCUGGGGUCACACAGCUAAGAGGCAUUGCUGGGCCUCAAACUCACGUCUGUCUGGUCCCAAACCUGGCUUCCAUGCUGCACGGAGUGCAAAGCAGAGUGAACCGCAUUUGUGUUUCUCAACUGGUGGCACCGAAUUCAUGAUAAGCAGCGCCACACGAGGUGAACCAUCCUGGGCAGAUGAAUUUCAAAGGCCUGCCACCAGUGUGAGUGUGCCCUGGGCACCAUGGCCAGGGUAGAAUUUUCCCAGCCGAGGUACGGAUCCCCACCUGCAGCCCACAGGAAGGUCCUGGGGAGAUUGCUGGGGGCAGAGCCGGACCUCCCAGCUGCCAUGGGCCAGAUCAGCCUGGGAUGGGCUCACGGCUCUGCAGGAGUGGCUGGGUGCUUGUGCUGUCCCUGGCUGUGGGCAUCUCUCCAAGUGUGGCAGGAGCGCUAUUCCAGGACAGGCAGGAGGCCUCAGCCUGGUCUGCCCCAACAUGCGCCUCUCGGAUGACCGCCUGGCCCCGGAGAGAGGGAGGGCAGAGCCAACGAGAGUUACCCAGCCAUCUGCGGCUCCCGGCAGGAUGGACACAGGUGUGGCCCUUGUGCCCAGUUCACACUGAUCACGCCCGGUUCUGGUCUCCUGACGCUCCCAUUGGAAUCACCUCGCUCCCCACCGCAGCCCUCAUCUGCGGAGAGACUGCUUGGGCUGUCCUCCAAGGAGAGGACUCUCUUGGGCUGAAAUUUUGGCCGGGUUCCAGGGAGCUAGCUUGGUCUGAUUAGGUG